rnacentral:rRNA from 1 species
CCUACGGGUGGCAGCAGUGGGGAAUAUUGGGCAAUGGGCGCAAGCCUGACCCAGCAACGCCGCGUGAAGGAAGAAGGCUUUCGGGUUGUAAACUUCUUUUCUCAGGGAAGAAGACAGUACCGGUACCUGAGGAAUAAGCACCGCCUAACUCCGUCCCAGCAGCCGCGGUAAUCCGUAGGUGGCAAGCGUUAUCCGGAUUUAUUGGGUGUAAAGGGCGUGUAGGCGGGAGCGCAAGUCAGAUGUGAAAACUCAGGGCUCAACCCGGAGCCUGCAUUUGAAACUGUGUGUCUUGAGUGCUGGAGAGGUAAUCGGAAUUCCGUGUGUAGCGGUGAAAUGCGUAGAUAUACGGAGGAACACCAGUGGCGAAGGCGGAUUGCUGGACAAUAACUGACGCUGAGGCGCGAAAGCGUGGGGAGCAAACAGGAUUAGAUACCCUUGUAGUC